CCUACGGGUGACUGCAGUAGGGAAUUUUGCGCAAUGGGCGAAAGCCUGACGCAGCAACGCCGCGUGAUCGAGACGCCCUUCGGGGUGUAAAGAUCUGUCAGUGGGGACGAAACUUGACGGUACCCACAGAGGAAGCACCGGCUAACUCGGUGCCAGCAGCCGCGGUCAUACGGGGGGUGCACGCGUUGUCCGGGAUCAGUGGGGGUAAAGCGUUCGUAGGGGGGACGGAAAGUCUGGUGUUAAAGGCGGAGGCUCAACUUCUGUACGGCACUGGAUACUGGCGAGCUAGAAUGCGGUAGGGGUAGAGGGAAUGCGUGGUGUAGCGGUGAAAUGCUUAGAUAUCAGGAGGAACAUCGGUGGCGAAGGCGCUUUACUGGGCCGUAAUUGACGCUGAGGAACGAAAGCCAGGGUAGCAAAUGGGAUUAGAUACCCUAGUAGUC
rnacentral:rRNA from 1 species